rnacentral:rRNA from 1 species
UACAGAGGGUGCAAGCGUUGUUCGGAAUUAUUGGGCGUAAAGCGCGUGUAGGCGGCUUUGCAAGUCGGGUGUGAAAGCCCUCGGCUCAACCGAGGAAGUGCGCCCGAAACUGAGUGGCUAGAGUACGAAAGAGGGUCGCGGAAUUCCCGGUGUAGAGGUGAAAUUCGUAGAUAUCGGGAGGAACACCGGUGGCGAAGGCGGCGACCUGGGUCGAUACUGACGCUGAUGCGCGAAAGCGUGGGGAGCAAACAGG